rnacentral:rRNA from 1 species
UACGGGGGGGGCAAGCGUUGUUCGGAAUUACUGGGCGUAAAGGGCUCGUAGGCGGCCAACUAAGUCAGACGUGAAAUCCCCAGGCUCAACCUGGGAACUGCGUCUGAUACUGGAUGGCUUGAAUCCGGGAGAGGGAUGCAGAAUUCCAGGUGUAGCGGUGAAAUGCGUAGAUAUCUGGAGGAACACCGAUGGCGAAGGCAGGUCACUGGGCCGCAACUGACGCUGAGGAGCGAAAGCAUGGGGAGCGAACAGG